AGGCAGAUUAUGUAAAGGGCAGGUAGGGUUCAAAUUUGGAAAGACAUGUCCACGUCUGAAUCCUGCUCCACUCCUCACCAGCUGUGGUGCCUUGGAAACUGUGUGGAUCUGGCUGGGAGUCCCUAAAACGUCCCCCCUUUACGCAAAAAGAAGUUGAGGCUCAGAGAGCUGAAGGGACUUACUUUGGUUACACAGCA